rnacentral:rRNA from 1 species
GGAAGGAUCAUUACCGAGUUGAUUCGAGCUCCGGCUCGAACUCUCCCACCCCAUGUGUACCUACCUCUGUUGCUUUGGCGGGCCGCGGUCCUCCGCACCGACCCCCGUUCGGGGGCCGGCCAGCGCCCGCCAGAGGACCACAAAACUCCAGUCAGUAAACGUCGCAGUCUGAGAAACAAGUUAAUAAACUAAAACUUUCAACAACGGAUCUCUUGGUUCUGGCAUCGAUGAAGAACGCAGCGAAAUGCGAUAAGUAAUGUGAAUUGCAGAAUUCAGUGAAUCAUCGAAUCUUUGAACGCACAUUGCGCCCCUUGGUAUUCCGAGGGGCAUGCCUGUUCGAGCGUCAUUUCAACCCUCAAGCUCUGCUUGGUAUUGGGCUCCGUCCUCCGCGGACGCGCCUCGAAGACCUCGGCGGUGGCGUCUUGCCUCAAGCGUAGUAGAAAACACCUCGCUUUGGAGCGCAUGGCGUCGCCCGCCGGACGAACCUUUGAAUUUUUCUCAAGGUUGACCUCGGAU